CUAAAUGAAGAGGGAACUGCAGGCUAAAGGGGAUGAGGAAGAUGGCAGGAAGUUGUAGUCAUUGUCCCCAGGAGGGAAGAGACACCUCCCUCUUGCUUUCUUCUUUUUAGUGUCCAAAUUCUCUGCUGUAAGCAGACACUGAGCUCACAACCUGGUCUCUGGAUGCUUUCACUCUCUCCUGGCAGAUUGUAUCAGAAUCUGAAUUAUUGGAAGAGCCAACAGGGAGGCCACAAAAUGACCCUCAAGGAGAUCCUAGAGCUAAACUAUCCCAUCCUCUUGCUCAGCAGAGGGCUGUCUCAUCGUCACUGUAAGAAAAGCCAGGUUGGUGAUGAGGGGCAGAGAAGGACCAAAGAAGAACUUAAGAAGGCAAGAAGAAGAGACAGAACUGAGCUCCCCUUGAGCCUUGCCCCAUUGGUCAGCUACUAGAUACAUGUUUUGCAACUCCUAAGAGCUGGACUUUGCCUCAGGGAUGACCUAGCCUGAGCAUCCUGCUGUACUUGAUGACAUACUCACCUACCCCAGGUCUCGUGGAACAGGUGAAGAUGUAUUCUAUCAUGGACAGCAGCAGCUUGAGGCGGCCGGCCGUGUUAUAUCCACAGUCAGGAAGCAGAGAUGGAUGUGUGCUGGUGUCCAGCUUUCUCCCUUUUAUUAAAUUCAGGAUCCCAGAGCUUGAGAUGGAGCUGCCCACAUUCAAGGUCCAGAGUUCUAAUCCCAGCAACCACA